AGAGUUUGAUCCUGGCUCAGGAUGAACGCUAGCGACAGGCUUAACACAUGCAAGUCGAGGGGCAGCAUAAAAGUAGCAAUACUUUGGUGGCGACCGGCGCACGGGUGAGUAACGCGUAUGCAACCUACCUAUCAGAGGGGAAUAACCCGGCGAAAGUCGGACUAAUACCGCAUAAAACAGGGGCACCGCAUGGUGAUAUUUGUUAAAGAAAUUCGCUGAUAGAUGGGCAUGCGUUCCAUUAGGUAGUUGGUGAGGUAACGGCUCACCAAGCCGACGAUGGAUAGGGGAACUGAGAGGUUGGUCCCCCACACUGGUACUGAGACACGGACCAGACUCCUACGGGAGGCAGCAGUGAGGAAUAUUGGUCAAUGGGCGGGAGCCUGAACCAGCCAAGUCGCGCGAAGGAAGAAGGAUCUAUGGUUCGUAAACUUCUUUUGCAGGGGAAUAAAGUGCAGGACGUGUCCUGUUUUGUAUGUACCCUGAGAAUAAGGAUCGGCUAACUCCGUGCCAGCAGCCGCGGUAAUACGGAGGAUCCGAGCGUUAUCCGGAUUUAUUGGGUUUAAAGGGUGCGUAGGUGGUUUGAUAAGUCAGCGGUGAAAGUUUGCAGCUUAACUGUAAAAAUGCCGUUGAAACUGUCGGACUUGAGUGUAAAUGAGGUAGGCGGAAUGCGUGGUGUAGCGGUGAAAUGCAUAGAUAUCACGCAGAACUCCGAUUGCGAAGGCAGCUUACUAAGCUACAACUGACACUGAAGCACGAAAGCGUGGGGAUCAAACAGGAUUAGAUACCCUGGUAGUCG
rnacentral:rRNA from 1 species